rfam:Anaerosphaera sp. HMSC064C01 Anaerosphaera_spHMPREF2800-1.0_Cont3.1, whole genome shotgun sequence.
AGUUAGGUAAACCGCACAGAAUUGGUUUUAAGUUAAUCACCAAUAAUGGCGAGACUAAAUUAGAGG